CGGCACACCUGGCCAGGCGCUGCCAGCCCAGGGCCACGUCAGCUCGGCUCCGCUCCACAACACCGGCUCACAGAAAAGCAGCUAAAUCCAGCAUAAGAGCUCAUCCUUUUUCCAGACAUCAGUGAAACACCACAGGAGAAGUUGUGAGCUUGGCUGUACAGUGUUGGACUCAUGGAGUAUAACUGGUGACAGCUGCUGGCACACUGCCUGGCUGCCUCAAGCCGUGGGAUCCUGUGGAGGGUCCACUCCUGACCUGGGGGACAGAGACUCGACAGCACACCACAAGUGCAUAUGGCAGCUGGAGCCAUGGGUGACAGGGAACAACCUGGCCAGAUGUGUCUUUUUGGAACUGUUAUCACUUUUCUUCAUUAUAAGCCUCUCCACUAAA